rnacentral:lncRNA from 1 species
UGACAUGCCAAGAAGGCCUUUGCAGUAAGGACUAGGCAAAAUGUUCCAUUUCACUGUGUGCAAGUGCUGCUGAAGGAUUAUUGUGUAGGUGGAAUUACUUAAAGGUUAGUAAGGGUGAUGUCACCUAAUGGGACUGUUUGUUUGGACUCAACAGGAUAGCUAAGCAGUAAAGUAUGUCUGAUUUCUUUCUUCAAGCAAAACUGUUGUGAAAAAGUUCUUAAAAUACAGAGUAGUUC